rnacentral:rRNA from 1 species
GACGAAGGGGGCUAGCGUUGUUCGGAAUUACUGGGCGUAAAGCGCGUGUAGGCGGCCCGAUAAGUCCGCUGUGAAAGUCCAGGGCUCAACCCUGGGAUGCCGGUGGAUACUGUCGGGCUCGAGUCCGGAAGAGGCGAGUGGAAUUCCUGGUGUAGCGGUGAAAUGCGCAGAUAUCAGGAGGAACACCAAUGGCGAAGGCAGCUCGCUGGGACGUGACUGACGCUGAGACGCGAAAGCGUGGGGAGCAAACAGG